rnacentral:rRNA from 1 species
GACGAACGCUGGCGGCGUGCCUAAUACAUGCAAGUCGAGCGAGUCUGCCUUGAAGAUCGGAGUGCUUUCACUCUGUGAAACAAGAUACAGGCUAGCGGCGGACGGGUGAGUAACACGUGGGUAACCUGCCCAAGAGAUCGGGAUAACACCUGGAAACAGUUGCUCAUACCGGAUAACAACAGAUGAUGCCUAUCAACUGUUUAAAAGAUGGUUCUGCUAUCACUCUUGGAUGGACCGGCGGUGCAUUAGCUAGUUGGUAGGGUAACGGCCUACCAAGGCGAUGAUGCAUAGCCGAGUUGAGAGACUGAUCGGCCACAUUGGGACUGAGACACGGCCCAAACUCCUACGGGAGGCAGCAGUAGGGAAUCUUCCACAAUGGACGCAAGUCUGAUGGAGCAACGCCGCGUGAGUGAAGAAGGGUUUCGGCUCGUAAAGCUCUGUUGUUGGUGAAGAAGGACAGGGGUAGUAACUGACCUUUGUUUGACGGUAAUCAAUUAGAAAGUCACGGCUAACUACGUG